rnacentral:rRNA from 1 species
CCUACGGGUGGAAGCAGUGGGGAAUAUUGGGCAAUGGGCGCAAGCCUGACCCAGCAACGCCGCGUGAAGGAAGAAGGCUUUCGGGUUGUAAACUUCUUUUGUCAGGGACGAAGCAAGUGACGGUACCUGACGAAUAAGCCACGGCUAACUACGUGCCAGCAGCCGCGGUAAUACGUAGGUGGCAAGCGUGAUCCGGAUUUAUUGGGUGUAAAGGGCGUGUAGGCGGGAAUGCAAGUCAGAUGUGAAAACUAUGGGCUCAACCCAUAGACUGCGUUUGAAACUGUAUUUCUUGAGUGCUGGAGAGGCAAUCGGGAUACCGUGUGUAGCGGUGAAAUGCGCAGAUAUACGGAGGAACACCAGUGACGAAGGCGGAUUGCUGGACAGUAACUGACGCUGGGGCGCGAAAGCGUGGGGAGCAAACAGGAUUAGAUACCCCUGUAGUC